CAUGGCGGCGGAUGUGGUUGGGUGUGAUGGAAAAUCACAGCGAAGCUUUAGUAUAAAACCCCGAACAGGAAGGGAAAUUGACAUUUCUUUCAUUUUAAACAUAUUUUAUGGCAUUUGGUGACAUUUGGACUUAAAACAGAUGGAAAUGGUAGUCCCAAAAUAGAGAAAUGAAGGCCAUAUUUCUCUUCAUGUCAGAAAGCUGCAAAAAGAGAAGAAUCUUUCACACUGAAGAAGUAGAAACAAGACAAAAGUAGAACUGUUUUCUUACCAGAAUUGUGAAAAAGAGGAAUGUUCAUGCUGUAUCACAAUAAGAAAAGAUUCUCACUGCUCAAGUAUGGCCAAACCUGGAUUAAAGUGCCUGGGUAAUUGGGACAUCAGUUGGAUUAGAGAAGUGUGGCUCCUGCACACUAUCAAGACCUGCAAAGUAACACAGCCGAUUGACAGGACAUAAAAAGGAGAUAAAUAAGAUAGAAACCUGGCAGAUUUUGGAAGAAAGCAUAGGAGAAGGAACUGAUUCAAGAUCUCUUUAACAUCUAAAGAAAGGAAGUAAGGCCAAUACUGAAAAGUUCACAAGUUUAAAAUGGAGUUCAGAGGAGAAGAGAGUAUCUUUUACUUGUUUUGUUUCCUUUAGAAUUAAGAGGAAGACAGAAGAAAAUAAAAGGUCCAAGAAAGAAUCGGCGUGGAAAAGAAGGAGAAGUUUGCUAACAUUUCGAACUGUCGCGUGCAGAACUCUUGCAGACGAUUGAAACUGGUUUCGAUGCAAAAUGUAAUUGAUUUAUUUUGAGUUGAGUACUACAGAAUAAAACAGCACCGAAGCCCUUCAUGGAUGGUGGGCGGAUCCUUUUCCGAGGUUGACAUUUUUGAGGAUCAAUUCUCCACCCUUAAAUAGCAUUAAAAAUUAACCAUCCCAAGUAAGAGAUCAGGGGGAAUUGUCAACCUUGGAAGGAAGAAAAACUGGAGGUCCAUCCACCACCGUCCCCCUCCACGCCCGCCUCUCACAAACAGUUGCUAUGUAAUUUGAGACGAGUUUAACAUUGUGGUACGACAUAUUGUAGUAAGCAUGCGUUUAGUUUGAUCAUCUCAGACAAACAUAAUCUUACAGCACGCAUGUGUAUUAAAAGAUGUAGUUUACCACAAGGAUUUACUUGUUUGAAAUUACAAAACAACUGUCUAUGAGAGGUGGGUGUGGUGGGGGACGGUGGCGGAUCGACCCCCGAUUUUUUCGUUCUUUCCAAGAUUGACAGUUCCCCUUGGUCUCUUACUUGAGAUGGACAUUUCCCGCCGAAAGACUUAGGAAAAUGUUUCUUCAAAACACACCAUGGAUGCCCAUCCGUACUUUACGUUAUAUAAUUACACCAGAAGGACAAAGUUGACGGAGGUUUCUGGCUACCCAAUUUACACUUAUUUUCGAGGUUGAAGUCUUUCUUUAGCCUCUUUCGUGAAAGGUUUGAAAUACCUGCGAAGUAAGGAGAAAGCAACGAAAUUCUUAAUUUCUGUAAUAUUAUUUUAGAUGGCUUCAUAUCUAAAUUACAACUUUCCCUUUAACUUUACCACAACAGUUGUACUCACCAGAUUGUUAAUUAUCCAGGUCUCCUUAACGUUUUCAACUUGUAAUCUUCGCUUUACUGAAAAGAAAUUAAAAAAUGCAAGAUGUUAA